UGGGGUGACCUUCUAGGCCGCCGUAGCCUGGUCCGUGCCAAGCACGGAGUUACAGCCGACCGUCUCGGCGGAGGCAGCGACACCCUCCAGGAUGCGGUCAGCCGGGCCUAGACGAGGAGUCGGCGCAUUUGGAGCGGGGUACAGCACGAAUGCAGAAAGGAUGGGUUCCCUGAAUUGGCAUCGGUGUCAUUGCGGGUGAACUGGAAGACUCAUAGAACACCAGGUCCUCUCAGGUUUGCUGGACAGCUAAGGACACAGAAAUUUCAAGCCACACCGCCUUGCUGUGACAUGCCCAGAGUAACCCACAGAAAAUGCAUGUUUUUCAGAAGAAGUAAUGCAUACUGUACUCCCACGAAGGAAAGCCUGCUCUUCAUAAAAAGCUAACAGGCAGCAAGAAAGGUAGAAAAGAAGCGAGUACGUUUAUUGGAUCCGGUGCUGAAGCUGCUUACUAAGAAACACGGCACGUCCUUCUCGGGCAAGCGCUGCUGUGGAUCUGGACGGUGGACGCCGAGGACCGACUGCGGAUGAACCUCAGCGCUGUUUUGUCUUGCUUGGGUCUGUUUCAGACUCUGUGUAAGGGCUUCAAUAGGUAGCUGAGUCCACGGGGGACGUGUAAGGACGGAACGCCUGUUUCAUUUUGGUCUGCUAGUUAUUUUACUGCUGUGUAAAUGCGGCAUCUUCAGUAUGCUGGGCGAAAAGGAAAGGCUUUGAAUUCUUUGAUUUUCCGAUGAUUUUGGCCGGGUAAACCGGGUGCGGGUGACACUUAAAGCAGAAACAAAAAUGAAAAUGAAGGGAAGAAUAUUGGCACUAAAGGGGAAAGUCCCUUUCAUGGUUCACAAAGCAGCAUACCGCUUUGGAAGGGAGAAAUCCGCCCUUGACGGCACCUAGCAGGGUGCCCCGGUGAAAUCGAAUGGUCGAACAAACACAGAUGGGGAGACAGACUGCCUCCAGAAUGAGGGGUUCCCAAGAUGUGGCCCCGGGCGGCAGCAGCCGCACCUGGGAACCCCUUAGAAAUGCAAAUUCUCAGGCCCGCCCCGACUUGCUGGAGCAGAAACCCGGGUGGGCCCGGCAACAAGGCCUCCUGGUGCGUCUGAGAGUCACAGGGUCUCACGGAAUCUCUCUCUGGGUUGCAACUUUUUUCCUCCCCGACUCCAGACUGUCCUGAGGCCAGACCUGAUGUCUUCACAGUAGGGGUGGGGGGUGGGGGAGCUCCUGACUCUGCCUCUUCUAUUUUUGUAUGUAAAAUUUCAUUGUGAAAUAAAUCUUCGAUACAAAAGACAAUAUUUACUGUAUAGAUACCAUUAAAAGAAUUGAUGACGGAAUCAUGACAUGAUUAACCGUGCUACUGAUGAAAUCAGUCACUCCUAACACUCAGGUGAGGAACUGGAAUGUUGCUGGCUCUCAGAACUUGCUCCUGCACCUUGAAGGAACUGUUCUCUGAGAGAGGGGGCAUUGGGCAUUGGCACUAUUUAAAAAAAAGUUGUCUCUUCUUUUUUCAUUGCUUCUGACUCCAUAGUGUUGGUUAGACUUACACUCUUUCAAGGAUGAGACAUAACUUUGAUUUAAUGCACAACUUCUAAUGUGUGUUCUCGUUUACGGUGUCUCAUCCUCACCAGUGUUCUUUUUGGGGGGGGGAUGUGAGGGAGGCAAUCAAUUUCUUUCUUUCUUUACGUAACAGAGGUGCUGGGGCUUGAACCCAGGCCCUCUUGCAUGCUGAGCAUGCGCUCUGCCACUGAGCGGCACCCGCCCCCUCACUGAUGUACUAUAUGAGUCAGCUCCUUCAAAACUGUUUUGUGAACUUCAGAGUCUCCACUGUCGGUUAGUUUCAAGGUCCGAACAAAUUAGUUUUAAUGAUCCACAGCUUCCAGUUUUUGUUGUCAUUCAUAAUAAUCUUCACUGAAAUUCUAUGACUCCGUCCUUCCUCCCUUUUUUAUGUGUCUAUGUAGAUAAUGUCUAGUGCUUAGACAAAGGCUGAUGAAACGAGCUACACAGGCGUCGAAAGUUAAUGCCGCUUUGUUUCCUUUCACCCACAGCUCGGUAGUUACCAUGGUUACGGAGAAGGGUCCAGGUCGCGCCAGCUGGCAGAUGUGGUAGCACGUUUUCCCUGGCUCAGUUUCUCAGUUACUGCCGCAUCACAGCAACUAGUUUUCAGGGGAAGCUUUUUUCUUCUAUCCUAGGUUAAUUUGCGGAGCUUUUUAGCUCUCAUUUCACAGCCUUGAUUUAACCAGCUCACCAGGCACAAAAGCGCAUUUCAGCAGAGGUGGGGCAGACCAAGGCGACCAGCACGGAGAAUUUAUGAGAGCGACAGUCCUUCCUUCUUCUCUGUCUGCGUGUUUGUUUAUCCUUCGUCACUGACCACCUCAUAUCAGUGGUGAGACAGGACCGCGUUCUCCGGAUCCUUCUGACCUCAGCCGGGGGUGGGGCUUUAUUAUAACCAACAACCACAUUACUUUGAUUGCAAGCAACAGAAGCCCACGAGAGAAAUGGGUGCUUCGUGGAACCCUGGAGGAUGAGGCUCGAACCAAGGAUUUGAAUCCUUCAGAGUUUUGUCUGCUCUUUGUUGUUUCCUGUGACUGUGUGCUGUCGUGGCAAAACACACACGCCAUAAAACUUACCGUUUUGACAGCUCACUUGUGCUGCUUUGCGGCACUAAGCACAUUCACACUGUCCUGCAGCUGUCACCACGGUCCAUCUGCAGAGCUUCCUUAUCAUUGCAAAGUAAGACUCUGCACCUGUUAAGCAGUUGCUCCCCCAGCCCCUGGUAACCAUCAUUCUUUUUUCCGUCUCUGAAUUUGACUGCUCUAAGUAUCUUAUAUAAGUGGAAUCAUACAGUAUGUGCCCUUCCGUGACUGGCUUAGAUCACGUAGCAUGAUAUCCUCGAGGUUCAUCCAUGUUGUAGCACGUGUCAGAACUCUCUUCCUUUUGGGGGCUGAGUAAUAUUCUAUGGGCAGAUGUACCAUAUUUGUUUAUCCAGCUCUUCCACUGAUGAACAGUUGGGCUGCUUCCACCUUUUGGCUGUUGUGAAUAAUGUUGCAAUGAACAUGGGUGUACAAGCAUCUGUCCGGGUCUCUGUUUUAAACUCUUUUGGGUAUACACCCAGAAACAGGAAUUCUGGAACACAGAAUAAUUCUACAUUUAAUUUUUCAAGGGAUCACCACUGUUUUCCACAGCAGCUGCACCAUUCUGCAUUCCCACCAUCAGUGCCCAGGAAUUCUCAUUUCUCCACAUUUUUGCCAACACUUUGUUAUUUUUUUUAUCAAGUAACCAACCUAGUGGGAUGAAGUGGUAUCUGCCUGGGUUUUUAUUUGCAUUCCCCUGAUGAUUGAGCAUUUUUCAUGUGCUAGUCGGCCUUUUCUGUGUCUUCUUGAGAGAUGUCUGUUCAAGUCACUUACCUAUUUUUCAAUGGAACUGUCAGUUUUUUGUUGUUGAGUGCUGAGAGUUCUGUUUUUUCAAAUUGAAGUAUAGUCAGUGCUGUGUUAAUUUCUAAGGUACAGCAUAGUGAUUCAUUUAUACAUACAUGUACAUACAUAUAUUCCUUUUCAUACUCUUCUUCAUUAUCGGUCUUUACAAGGUACCGCAUAUAGUUCCCUGUGCUAGAGAGUUCUCUAUAUAUUCUUUUUGUUUUUGUUUCUUUGGGGUUCUCUGUAUAUUCUUGAUGUUAAUUCCUUAUCAGAUGUAUCAUUUGCAGAUAUGUUCCCCCAUGCCACCAUUGCCUUUUCACUCUGUGGAUUGUAUCCUUUGAUGCACGAAAGUUUUAAAUUUUGAUGAAGCCCAGUUUAUCUAUUUUUUUCUUUUGUUGCCUGUGCUUUUGGUGUCCUAUCCAAGAAACAUUGCCAAAUCCAAUGUCAUGUAACUUUUACUCAUUUUCUUCUAAGAGUUUUACCUCUUGCAUUUUUUUUUAUUAAUAAAGUUCUGAGUACAUCUUCAUAUUUGGAAGAACAUUCAAUACUACAAUGUGAUUGGGUGUUUAGGAUCCAAUCUUACAUUUAAGUUUUCGAUCAGUUUUGAGUUAAUUUUUAUAUAUGGGUGUUGGGGCCCGGGGCAGGCCACCCUAAAAUAUGUCUCCAUGGCAUAUUGAUUAUUUUGAAUUAAAGUUACUUAAGACGUGGGUGAUGCAAGAGGGACACUUUGACCCCCUCUUCUGUAUCACUGAAAGCAGGAAAUAAACCUCCACGUGAAAGGUGCGUACUUGAGGCUGGAGGUAGGGCACCCCCAUCACCAGAGAUGGGGAGUGUGGACCAAGGAGUCUGUAUAAUCAAACCUUGCUCGCUCUUUAAGUUACUAGCCCAAGACCAAACUCUGUUUAGAGUCUUCACUAAUUAAGUACCCAAAGCCUAAGUUUCUUUGUCCUAUGAAUGCCUUACAAAUCUAUUGUUUCUUUGUCUAAAAAGUAUAAAGUUGCCUGCCUUGGCCACUUAUUAGAUCUUAUUUCUAUAAAGCCUCCGUGUGCACAAA